GCGCUAUCAGAUGAGCCUAGGUCGGAUUAGCUAGUUGGUGAGGUAAUGGCUCACCAAGGCGACGAUCCGUAACUGGUCUGAGAGGAUGAUCAGUCACACUGGAACUGAGACACGGUCCAGACUCCUACGGGAGGCAGCAGUGGGGAAUAUUGGACAAUGGGCGAAAGCCUGAUCCAGCCAUGCCGCGUGUGUGAAGAAGGUCUUCGGAUUGUAAAGCACUUUAAGUUGGGAGGAAGGGUUGUAGAUUAAUACUCUGCAAUUUUGACGUUACCGACAGAAUAAGCACCGGCUAACUCUGUGCCAGCAGCCGCGGUAAUACAGAGGGUGCAAGCGUUAAUCGGAAUUACUGGGCGUAAAGCGCGCGUAGGUGGUUUGUUAAGUUGGAUGUGAAAUCCCCGGGCUCAACCUGGGAACUGCAUUCAAAACUGACUGACUAGAGUAUGGUAGAGGGUGGUGGAAUUUCCUGUGUAGCGGUGAAAUGCGUAGAUAUAGGAAGGAACACCAGUGGCGAAGGCGACCACCUGGACUAAUACUGACACUGAGGUGCGAAAGCGUG
rnacentral:rRNA from 1 species